rnacentral:rRNA from 1 species
UGAGCAAUCUGCCCUUCUCUUCGGAAUAAGCGUUGGAAACGACGUCUAAUGCCGAAUACGACCUCCUUUCGCAUGAUCGGAGGUGGAAAGCUCCGGCGGAGAAGGAUGAGCUCGCGGCCUAUCAGCUAGUUGGUGAGGUCAUGGCUCACCAAGGCGACGACGGGUAGCUGGUCCGAGAGGAUGACCAGCCACAUUGGGACUGAGACACGGCCCAGAUCCCGUAACGGGG